UUCAUGGUCACCUCCUUUCCAUUUUCAAUCCUUCCCUUUCUUUCUCUUUCUCUUUCUCUUUCUAUUACACACGGUUUCGAAGUUGAAUACAUUAUCCACUUUUAUUGUCACUUCUAAUAAUUUUCACAAUAAAAACCCGGUUCUUGGUUUCUGUCCUGUUCAAGCCUUGGAGGAAGACAAAAGCUCUAGCCUAUACUCUUUAUCUUUCUCUUUCAAGACUAUUGAUCAA
rnacentral:misc_RNA from 1 species